rnacentral:rRNA from 1 species
AGGGCACCACCAGGAGUGGAGCCUGCGGCUUAAUUUGACUCAACACGGGGAAACUUACCCGGCCUGGACACUGGAAGGAUUGACAGAUUGAGAGCUCUUUCUUGAUUCAGUGGGUGGUGGUGCAUGGCCGUUCUUAGUUGGUGGAGCGAUUUGUCUGGUUAAUUCCGAUAACGAACGAGACUCUAGCCUAUUAAAUAGGCUCUCGGCUUUUAAACGCCGGGAGGACUUCUUAGAGGGACAGGUGGCGGUUCAGCCGCACGAAAGAGAGCAAUAACAGGUCUGUGAUGCCCUUUGUUGUCCGGGGCCGCACGCGCGCUACACUGAAGAGAUCAGCGUGCUUUACGUUCCUGCUCCGACCGGAGUGGGGAACCCAGUGAACCUUCUUCGUGAUUGGGAUAGAAGAUUGUAAUUAUUCUCCUUGAACGAGGAAUUCCCAGUAAAUGCGAGUCAUAAGCUCGCGUUGAUUACGUCCCUGCCCUUUGUACACACCGCCCGUCGCUACUACCGAUUGAACGAUUU